GGUGAUUCAUAGUAACCGAACGGAUCGCAUUAUAAUUAUCAUUAUUUGAUGAUUGGCGAUAGAUCAUUCAAGUUUCUGACCUAUCAGCUUUCGACGGUAGUGUAUUGGACUACCGUGGCAGUGACGGGUAACGGGGAAUUAGGGUUCGAUUCCGGAGAGGGAGCCUGAGAAACGGCUACCACAUCUAAGGAAGGCAGCAGGCGCGCAAAUUACCCAAUCCUGACUCAGGGAGGUAGUGACAAGAAAUAACAACACUGGAAAUUUGAUUUCUAGUGAUUGGAAUGAUGGGAAUCCAAACCCCUUUCAGAGUAACAAUUGGAGGGCAAGUCUGGUGCCAGCAGCCGCGGUAAUUCCAGCUCCAAUAGCGUAUAUUAAAGUUGUUGCAGUUAAAAAGCUCGUAGUUGGAUGUCUGUUGGAAGCAAUCAUCAGUCCGCCCUAUUUGAUUAGGGUGUGAAUAUGAUGAAUUCCGGCAUAAUUGUCUCCCUAUUGUUAAUAUUCUGAUUGUUAGAUUCAUUUCUAACAAUAAUACGAUUAUUAAUAAUAAGGGGGAAAUGUUACUUUGAGAAAAUUAGAGUGUUUGAAGCAGGCUUUUGUUGCCUUGAAUACUGCAGCAUGGAAUAACAAUAUAGGAUUUCGGUUCUAUUUUGUUGGUUCUUUUUUUAGGACUGAAAUAAUGAUUAAUAGGGACAGUUGGGGGCAUUCGUAUUUAACUGUCAGAGGUGAAAUUCUUAGACUUGUUAAAGACGAACUACUGGGAAAGCAUUUGCCAAAGAUGUUUUCAUUAAUCAAGAACGAAAGUUAGGGGCUCGAAGACGAUCAGAUACCGUCGUAGUCUUAACCAUAAACUAUGCCGACUAGAGAUAGGAAAUUGUCAUUUUACUUGACUUCUCCUGCACCUUAUGAGAAAUC
rnacentral:rRNA from 1 species